GACGAACGCUGGCGGCGUGCCUAAUACAUGCAAGUCGAACGCAGUGGGGACGGGUGAGUAACACGUGGGUAACCUCCCAUCAGAGGGGAUAACACUUGGAAACAGGUGCUAAACCGAUACUGAUGGAUGGACCCGCGGUGCAUUAGCUAGUUGGUGAGGUAACGGCUCACCAAGGCCACGAUGCAUAGCCGCCCUGAGAGGGGGAUCGGCAACACUGGAACUGAGACACGGCCAAGAGUCCUACGGGAGGCAGCAGUGGGGAAUUUUGGGCAAUGGACGAAAUUCUGACGGAGCAAGGCCGCGUGAGGGAAGAAGGUUUUCGGAUCGUAAAACUCUUUGGUUGGGGAAGCGGUAUCUAACCAGAAAGCCACGGCUAACUACGGGCCAGCCGCCGCGGUAAUUC
rnacentral:rRNA from 1 species